rnacentral:rRNA from 1 species
UCGGAUUGUAGUCUGCAACUCGACUACAUGAAGCUGGAAUCGCUAGUAAUCGCGGAUCAGAAUGCCGCGGUGAAUACGUUCCCGGGUCUUGUACACACCGCCCGUCACACCAUGGGAGUCGGAAAUGCCCGAAGCCGGUGACUCAACCUUUAAGGAGAGAGCCGUCGAAGGCAGGUCUGAUAACUGGGGUGAAGUCGUAACAAGGUAUC